GUGCACCAGUCGCGAAACCUUCGCAAUGCGGGAAACCGCGACGAGGGGACUCCCAGUGCCUACGCUCAGCGUAGGCUGUUCCCGAGCCUAGAAAGCUCGGGGAGUAAGGGCUGGGUAAGACGGGUGCCAGCCGCCGCGGUAAUACCCGCAGCCCGAGUGGUGGCCACUAUUAUUGGGCCUAAAGCGUCCGUAGCCGGCCCGGUAAAUGCCUGGGUAAAUCGUGAGGCCUAACCUCACGAAUUCCGGGUAGACUGCCGGGCUAGGGACCGGAGGAGGGAGAGGGGUACUCCAGGGGUAGGGGUGAAAUCCUGUAAUCCCUGGAGGACCACCGGUGGCGAAGGCGCUCUCCUAGGACGGGUCCGACGGUGAGGGACGAAAGCCAGGGGAGCGAACCGGAUUAGAUA
rnacentral:rRNA from 1 species